rnacentral:rRNA from 1 species
GAUGAACGCUGGCGGCGUGCCUAAUACAUGCAAGUCGAGCGAACAGACGAGGAGCUUGCUCCUCUGACGUUAGCGGCGGACGGGUGAGUAACACGUGGAUAACCUACCUAUAAGACUGGGAUAACUUCGGGAAACCGGAGCUAAUACCGGAUAAUAUAUUGAACCGCAUGAUUCAAUAGUGAAAGACGGUUUUGCUGUCACUUAUAGAUGGAUCCGCGCCGCAUUAGCUAGUUGGUAAGGUAACGGCUUACCAAGGCAACGAUGCGUAGCCGACCUGAGAGGGUGAUCGGCCACACUGGAACUGAGACACGGUCCAGACUCCUACGGGAGGCAGCAGUAGGGAAUCUUCCGCAAUGGGCGAAAGCCUGACGGAGCAACGCCGCGUGAGUGAUGAAGGUCUUCGGAUCGUAAAACUCUGUUAUUAGGGAAGAACAAAUGUGUAAGUAACUAUGCACGUCUUGACGGUACCUAAGCAGAAAGCCACGGCUAACUACGU